GAGCUCAGUGGUCUAAAAGGACUUGACGUGUGGAAUGAAGGUCUCCUAGCCCACAAUGUAUUCAGUCCUCCCCACUACCCAGCCUCACAAGGAUACCAAUGCAGCCGUGUCAAGUGACAUUCAUUUGGAAGUCUGUGAACAAAAGAGGACAUUUGUUGUAAACUGAAGAUACAAGCAAUGAGCAAGGGAAAUCCUGCCUUCCAGGAAAAUGCACGUAGCUGAUUCCUUCCCAAUUUGUGUGAAUAUGCCAAAUGCUGCUUCUGCCAAGCCUCUUGGUGUGAUGAAUUCACAGACCCUGCAAUGGGAAAGUCAGCAGCUGUAGAGGUGGGGCUAUUCCUGGUAGGAAGGAGGCAGCUACCAUGCUUGCGCCUGCUGACCGGACUGCUGUUUCAAUAGGAACUUCCUCUCCAGGGGAGUUGGUUCAUAAUUUUCCUCUUACUACUACUGGAAGUCCUAUAAUGGCCAUAUCACAGCCUGUACCCAUUCACAACAGGAAAUUCUGACAAUCCUGUCUGACAAUCUGCAGACAAUCUUGGCACGAGAAGAGGAAAAGUCCAGUCUUGUGUGUCAGCUUCUAUAUUAGAACCAGAACAAUCAUUUUUAUGGUAUAGACCAUGUUGUCACCUUCACAAGUGAUGUUGGGCUCCAAAAAGGAAAAUGUACUCUAGUGAAGUUCAAGUGUGAUGUCUGCAAGCAGGGACCCCAGAGAAGGCAACACUUUGAGGACCCUGAACAAAAACGCUGUGGUGACUCUAAAUCCAAGGAAAGGCGCUUUGAUAGUGGGAGACGGUUUCUGGUGCAUGAGUUCCUUGUACAGUAUUAUCCUACGUGUUCAGGACAGCGGGGCCCCGUGGGAACUACGGGUCCUCACAGGCAUGCUGAAGUUAGCAACUAACCACUCACAAAAUCUGAUAGGCAUCUUACAUCCUCUAGCUUGGUUUUUCUCAGACAAGCAGAGAGGCACACACCUAAAAGUGAAGUUACAUGUGUGGAUGUUUAUAUGA
rnacentral:lncRNA from 1 species